rnacentral:rRNA from 1 species
AUGGAGAAGGAGUUGCUUCCCUUUCCUCUCCUGCCAUGGCUCCUCCUCACAUGCUUCUCUCCAUUCUUUGUUCGUUCUAUGGAAUUGAGUACCUCUGCAUGCUCAAGUUCCAACAUCUCUAUCCCUUAUCCUUUUGGUGUCCAUGGCCAAAGCCCCUCCCCAGCUCAAGGGUUCGAGAUCAAUUGUACUUCAUCUGGUCCUAGGCUUCCCAUAGGCAACAACUCAAUUAGUAUUCUCAACAUCUCCCUGCUGGGUGGUUAUGUGACCAUCCUGGCUAGUGCCGCUUCCCGUUCCCCGCAGUGCAGAGGGAACAUUGCUAGCUUCAGCCUUGAGGGGACAAACUUCACCUUCUCCGAUACAAGGAACAAGUUCACCGCUGUCGGCUGUAAUAUGGUGGCCAUGCUGUUGAAUGGUACCAGUGGUGGUUACAGCGGUGGCUGCGCUUCUUUUUGCUCUAAUAAUAGCAUCGUCGAUGGUGCUUGCUCUGGUGUGGCUUGCUGCCAAGCACCGGUGCCAAAGGGGUUGAAGAAGCUGUAUUCAGAUUUCACAAACAUAAACAUAACUGCCAGUCUCAGCAAGUAUACUUCAGCAUGUGCUGAGGCGUUCAUCGUGGAGCAGAACUCCUAUGCUUUCGCUACUGCUGACCUGAAGAUCCUGAACAACUCAAAUAAAAGCCCUCCUCAAUACCGGCAUGUUGUUCUUGAGUGGUCCAUAGAUGGUGGCAGCUGUGAGGAGGCAAGCCGCUCUGCAUCAUAUGCUUGCAAGGAGAAUUCUUACUGCUAUAACUCGUCUAAUGGGAUUGGAUAUCGCUGCAAUUGUACCAACGGGUUUCAGGGGAACCCGUACCUGCAAGGGCCUGGUGGAUGCCAAGAUAUCGAUGAGUGCUUCCUUGGAAAUCCAUGCACACAUAGCUGCAUCAACGUGAAGGGCGGUUUCAACUGUACUUGCCCAUCAGGGAUGAGUGGUAAUGGCCGAAAGGAUGGAAGUGGCUGCAAUGGAAUUGGCACGCUGCAGAUUUCAAUAGUUGUGGGACUAGCUCUGCUACUGCUUCUCCUUGUUUUCAGUUUCUGGACUCACUGUCUUGUUAAGAGGAGAAAGCUUGCGAAGAAAAGACAGAGAUAUUUUAUGCAGAAUGGUGGUGUGUUACUGAAGCAGCAGAUGCUUUCACGGAAGGCACCGCUGCGGAUAUUUACCUCAGGUGAGCUUGACAAGGCAACCAACAAAUUCAGCGAUAACAAUAUUGUUGGCAGAGGUGGAUUCGGGACAGUCUACAAAGGUAUAUUAUCGGAUCAGACGGUUGUAGCAGUCAAAAGGUCGCAGCGGGUUGAUCAGAGCCAAGUGGAGCAAUUCGUGAAUGAGCUGGUCAUUCUUUCACAAGUGACCCACAAGAACGUGGUUCAGCUACUAGGCUGUUGUCUUGAGGCAGAAGUUCCCUUAUUGGUGUAUGAAUUCAUCUCCAAUGGUGCCCUGUUUUAUCAUCUCCACAAUACAUCAAUCCCAAUGUCAUGGGAGGACCGCCUAAGGAUUGCAGUUGAAACCGCAUCGGCACUUGCAUACUUGCACUUGGCUGCAAAGACGCCAAUCGUUCACAGAGACGUCAAGUCAUCGAACAUUCUUCUCGACACGAGCUUCACCGCAAAGGUGUCUGAUUUCGGCGCGUCAAGGCCACUACCCCCCAAUCAGACCCAUGUGACGACCUUGGUGCAGGGCACACUAGGGUACAUGGACCCUGAGUACUUCCAGACAAGCCAACUGACCGAGAAAAGUGACGUUUACAGCUUUGGCGUGGUACUUAUUGAGCUUUUGACAAGGGAGAAACCAAUAUCAGACGGUCAGGUCGACGAGGUUAGAAGUCUAGCAAUGCAUUUUAGCACGUUGUUCCAUCAGAACCAGUUGCUGAAGAUUGUAGACUCUCAAGUGGCCGAGGAAGCUGGGAUGAGACAUGUCAAAACAGUCGCGCAGUUGGCUUUGCGAUGCUUGAGGUCGAGAGGUGAAGAGAGGCCGAGGAUGAUUGAGGUUGCGGUUGAACUUGAAGCGCUGAGAAGGCUGAUGAAACAACACUCUGUCCUGAAGAGUGAAGAAGAAGAGCCUCUGCUUCCUCUGCUUCGAGACUUGAGUUGCCACGGGGAGAUGAAUUUCGAUGCGCAGUUGAGUUCGAACCAUGAUGGAAUUGCCAAGGAUGAAAGUAUGGAGAUCAUUCUACUCCCAUCCGGCGAUCUCUCAUGUUAG